CUUGGAGGUGCUUGGAGGUGCACAGGCUGCUAGAAGAGCACUGGAGAAUGCAGUCACAUCCACUGUGCUCCAGGUAAAGGAGAUAACUGACCAUGAAGCCCAGGCUUGUAUACAGCGAGUUGACAACGAUGUGGGCAGUGCAGGCCAGAGGCAAAGGAGAGGCAGCUCAU
rnacentral:lncRNA from 12 species